GAUGAACGCUGGCGGCGUGCUUAACACAUGCAAGUCGAGCGAGUGAGUUCUUCGGAACGAUCUAGCGGCGGACGGGUGAGUAACACGUGGGCAACCUGCCUCAUAGAGGGGAAUAGCCUCCCGAAAGGGAGAUUAAUACCGCAUAAAAUUAUCGAGUGGCAUCACAUGAUAAUCAAAGGAGUAAUCCGCUAUGAGAUGGGCCCGCGGCGCAUUAGCUAGUUGGUGAGGUAACGGCUCACCAAGGCGACGAUGCGUAGCCGACCUGAGAGGGUGAUCGGCCACAUUGGGACUGAGACACGGCCCAGACUCCUACGGGAGGCAGCAGUGGGGAAUAUUGCACAAUGGGGGAAACCCUGAUGCAGCAACGCCGCGUGAGUGAUGGCGGCCUUCGGGUUGUAAAGCUCUGUCUUCGGGGACGAUAAUGACGGCACCCGAGGAGGAAGCCACGGCUAACUACGUGCCAGCAGCCGCGGUAA
rnacentral:rRNA from 1 species